rnacentral:rRNA from 1 species
AGCGAGUCUGCCUUGAAGAUCGGAGUGCUUGCACUCUGUGAAACAAGAUACAGGCUAGCGGCGGACGGGUGAGUAACACGUGGGUAACCUGCCCAAGAGAUCGGGAUAACACCUGGAAACAGAUGCUAAUACCGGAUAACAACAGAUGAUGCCUAUCAACUGUUUAAAAGAUGGUUCUGCUAUCACUCUUGGAUGGACCUGCGGUGCAUUAGCUAGUUGGUAGGGUAACGGCCUACCAAGGCGAUGAUGCAUAGCCGAGUUGAGAGACUGAUCGGCCACAUUGGGACUGAGACACGGCCCAAACUCCUACGGGAGGCAGCAGUAGGGAAUCUUCCACAAUGGACGCAAGUCUGAUGGAGCAACGCCGCGUGAGUGAAGAAGGGUUUCGGCUCGUAAAGCUCUGUUGUUGGUGAAGAAGGACGGGGGUAGUAACUGACCUUUGUUUGACGGUAAUCAAUUAGAAAGUCACGGCUAACUACGUGCCAGCAGCCGCGGUAAUACGUAGGUGGCAAGCGUUGUCCGGAUUUAUUGGGCGUAAAGCGAGUGCAGGCGGUUCGAUAAGUCUGAUGUGAAAGCCUUCGGCUCAACCGGAGAAUUGCAUCAGAAACUGUCGAGCUUGAGUACAGAAGAGGAGAGUGGAACUCCAUGUGUAGCGGUGAAAUGCGUAGAUAUAUGGAAGAACACCGGUGGCGAAGGCGGCUCUCUGGUCUGUUACUGACGCUGAGGCUCGAAAGCAUGGGUAGCGAACAGGAUUAGAUACCCUGGUAGUCCAUGCCGUAAACGAUGAGUGCUAAGUGUUGGGA